rnacentral:rRNA from 1 species
AGCAGCCGCGGUAAUUCCAGCUCCAAUAGCGUAUAUUAAAGUUGCUGCAGUUAAAAAGCUCGUAGUUGAAUUUCGGGAUCGAUAUAUCGGUCGUGCCUCGGUACGUACUGGUAUUUUCGGUUUCUCCCUUCUGACGAACCUUGAUGUCAUUAAUUUGGUGUCUUGGGGAAUCAGGACUGUUACUUUGAAAAAAUUAGAGUGUUUAAAGCAGGCUCACGCUUGAAUACAUUAGCAUGGAAUAAUGAAAUAGGACGUUCGAUCCUAUUUUGUUGGUUUCUAGGAUUGACGUAAUGAUUAAUAGGGAUAGUUGGGGGCAUUAGUAUUCAAUUGUCAGAGGUGAAAUUCUUGGAUUUAUUGAAGACUAACUACUGCGAAAGCAUUUGCCAAGGAUGUUUUCAUUAAUCAAGAACGAAAGUUAGGGGAUCGAAGACGAUCAGAUACCGUCGUAGUCUUAACCAUAAACUAUGCCGACUAGGGAUCGGAUGAUGUUAAUUUUUAAUGACUCAUUCGGCGCCUUAAC